ACGCGCAGAACCUUACCAACCCUUGACAUCCUGUGCUACUACCAGAGAUGGUACGUUCCCUUCGGGGACGCAGUGACAGGUGCUGCAUGGCUGUCGUCAGCUCGUGUCGUGAGAUGUUCGGUUAAGUCCGGCAACGAGCGCAACCCACAUCUUUAGUUGCCAUCAGGUUAAGCUGGGCACUCUAGAGAAACUGCCCGUGAUAAGCGGGAGGAAGGUGUGGAUGACGUCAAGUCCUCAUGGCCCUUACGGGUUGGGCUACACACGUGCUACAAUGGCAGUGACAAUGGGUUAAUCCCCAAAAGCUGUCUCAGUUCGGAUUGGGGUCUGCAACUCGACCCCAUGAAGUCGGAAUCGCUAGUAAUCGCGUAACAGCAUGACGCGGUGAAUACGUUCCCGGGCCUUGUACACACCGCCCGUCACACCAUGGGAGUUGGUUCUACCCGACGACGCUGCGCUAACCCUNNGGNG
rnacentral:rRNA from 1 species